AGGGGCCGCCUUUGUACGGCGGCGUGGGGGGGGAGCUCCCGGCUCCGACCGCGCCUCGUCAGGGCGGAUCUGCCCCGGAGCGGGUCGCAUCGGCAUAAGGAAGAAAUUCUUCACCCUGAGGUACUGGGAGUUUCCCAUUUUCUUUCUCCUCCAGCUCCUCCAGAAGCUGCUGCCAGCCCUCCACUCCUGUCGGUGGCACCUGGCAGGGAGAUGAGCCGUUUUCAAAAUUAGGAAGAAGGGCACUGGGAAUGCAGGAGAAGAAUGCAGCAGUGACUGAAGCUAUCCCGAGGUCAUCUUGAAUACACCCAGCCUCAGACCAACAACAUCUGCAAAAUACAGGAUGCAAAUGGUUUGGAGAUAUUCUUCUGUGUCAAUAAGCAUUCUCGUCUUGAGCGUUUUCACAUUCCUCCUACACUUCAAAAUUUUGCAGAGCAUUGUUUUGUGUGACCAUGACCUGACCAAAGCACUGUGCCGAUCCACCUCCAUUGUUCCUCCAUGUGCCAGCCUUUGUGGUGCGCGUGUGUGAGCAGAGGAAGGCAGAUCCUGCUGCCUGCUUGUGGGAAAGUGUUCUUUUCUAAGUGAUGGUAAACACUGCCUAAUUCAGCAAGAGAUAUUUUUACACUGGAAGUAAAGGAAAAGCAAGAUAGGAAGCUUUCUUUUCUCCUGUUUUUUUGUUUGGAAGGCUACCGUUUGGAAACUAAGAGAGGACAUCUAAGCUGGACCAAUCACUCUGUAGAAAUGUGGGAGCAGCCAGAGGAGGAGCAAGCUGCCCUGCUUCUAGAGCAGACAGUUGUGGGGUGAGCGGAUCUUCCCGGUGCACCAGGUCCAUAUCCAUCUUUUCCAGCACUCACAUCCAGUGCUGCUACUGAAACACCAGUGCUAGGUUGGUUGGUGGUGGGUUACGGAGGUGGAGGUUUAGGUUGGAAGCAGCAUACUGGGUUUAGGCAGGUAAUGCUAGCAGGAGACAGCCACCAUCCUGUGCAGCAGCAGCAUCCUGGGACUGGUCAGUGCUGGAUCAGAAAGGGAAGGGAAGGAAAGGAAAGGAAAAAGUUCACAUCGCGUCCAAGGAGUGGAGCAGGUAGGACAAUGUUCAGAGGGGUUGUAGAACUCCAGCGCUUCCUGUUUUCCUGUGGGCAGGAGCUGUGAUUGUCACAUUAUUCAGCUUCUCAUCCUGGGAGGAAGACAGUAUCAGGCUGUGCCGGGGCAGCAGGAUGUUUAUGUGACAGACUGAGUCAAGGUACUGCUUUUAAUACUCUCCGGAGCAGAGUCAUUGGGGGAAAUGUACAUUUUAGAUUAUAUUUGUGUUUUUUUUUUAAAGGGAGUCAUAAACAUCCAAAGUGCUUUGCAACCACCAUUCAGGCUGCACAGCUAGCUGCCAGCACCGAGUGCCAUUCUUUCUAAAGCCAUUACACAAGAAUUGUACAAGGUGCCAUCAAAUAUUGUAAUUUACUGAGGAUUUGUAUGAUUAGUGAAGUUCAGUUAAGCUUUGCUUAAUUACUACGUCAGCUGUUAAACUGAUCAUUGUCUGCAUCCAUACAAGCACCACACCGUAAUAAGAAGGGGACUGAGAUGUGACUGGGGUUCCUGCAGGCCCAGCUAUCACAGGUCUUCAUCCCAUGCCUCACCACACCCUGUUUGGCUUUUAAAACACCAUAGCAUGUAGGGGGCUGAAAGAAACCAGAAGCAUGUGCAGACAAACAGACAAGGCAGUGCCUAUGUGUGUGGUAAUUUGGAAUAUCCAGCCCUUCACAUUUUCUUUCUCAUUUAUUUUGAAUAUGAAACAACUGUCACCCUAUUGUGUUCCUUAAUAUCAUGUUCUUGAGGGUGGGACUCUCGGUUGGGCAUUGCUGUCAGCCCGGCAUUUCUCUCCUCGUGUCAAAAGUCCUUCCCUUUUGGUGGGACUCACAGCUGGGGUUACAACUGCUGCUCCCCAUUCAACACUUGGGCAGCUCCUGUUGCCCCGACACUGACCUUAGCCAAAAUAUUGGGUUCAGCUUGUCUGUGACUGCUCUGGACUCAUCCUAAUGGACACUGGGAUUUAUGGGGGGAGCCAGGAGGCUGAGGCUGAAACACCUUGGAGGAACCUGGCCCUUCUGCAUACCUGAGGUGCAGAAACCCUGCGGCCACUGCUGGUGGAGAACCUGCUCCUGCUGGAUGAGUGUGUCCUGAGGGAAAGGCAAGCUGCAAAAGCACUGCCGAGGCUCCUGCAGGACAGGUUCCUGUGGAGGGACGUUUGAACCUCCCAAAACUGGUGUAAGGGCAGCAUCCCACUUCGUGGUCCUGCAGGGGGCUGCAGCAAACCCUGGGAAAUUGAUGUCAUUUUAGCCCAAAGACCUGGACUGCUGAGAUGUCUGUCCAUUGCUCCUGGCCUUUCCCAUGGGAAUAAGGCCAGGUUGGUUGUUGAAUUUUCUUGAUUGCUCAUUCAGCAUCUUCUCAAAUACUCAGAGAUCUCUGCUGUUAGGGUGAUUUUUAGGGAGAGGCAGUCAGGCAGGCUUAGGCUAUCUCCACACCUGGCUUUGCGGGAUGUUACUGCUUAUGGAUGAGUGACAUUUCUAGGAACUUGGGAGAGUCUGGUCCUAACUGUGUUAAUAUACCAGAAGUGGCAGGGGAAAACAGGUUUAAGAUCUGUUUGGUUUACAUUUUUUUUUUCUCAGACAAUAACCCACCAAAUAUUCCCAGGUCGUUUAUAUUUAGAUAAGGCUGUGCAGUGUCCUGUGAAAGGAAAGUGACACAUCUACUGCUCUGGGGGGCAAGACAGCGUGGGACAAACAGACCUGACUGAAGUGAGGCACAGCGACAAUAAAUGAUGCCACGGAUGCAGGAGAGUGCAUCAAACACGCAGUCCCUGUGCGGGGACACCCACCUAUCCAGGGCCAGGUCCUGUGGGGUGGAGCCCACUCCCAUCUGACCGUGCAGUGGGAUGAAACCUCUGGAUACACCCUCCCCUGUAUGCUGCCACACUCCUGGAGACCAAGUGCAUACUUUAAAUGUCUUUGUGGGAGCAGCCCGUUGUUGCUAGGUACAGGCAGGGAAAUUAUAAAAACAACCCCCCUCUUUUUCUUUUAAUUGCUCGUAGAGUAAUUGCAGAGAUUUUUGCUUGACAAGGAAUAGGUUAUGAGGCAAGGAAAACCUUCUAAUUCUUCUUCUUCUUCCUCUUCCUCUUCUUCUUCUUCUUCUUUUACUUCUGCUUCUUCUAAUUCUGAUUCUUCAUUUCUGAUUGACCAUUGCUCUUGCCUAAAGCCUUGCAGCAGGCUUUGCCACUGGGAGCAAAGAUGAUGAAGGCGCUGGAGAGGACUGGUGAUGGAGGCGUGGUGUUGGGCUCUGCCCCACACGGACUGGCCUCCUGGGGGAACGGCACACAUCGCUUGUUUUUGUCCCGAGGGUGGGCAAACCAGGGGGGAACGGGAGGUGAUAGUGGAGCCUCCAUACCAAAACAGCAUUUUUAGCAGCUGGGCAGAAUGAGCUUGUCUCACUGCUGGGACUGAUUUGGGAGUGCUGUCCCUGCCCUGGACCUUCAAGUUUAAGUGGAGCACUGAAAUGCCUCUGAAGACCUGGCCACAGGAUUGUUUGAACCCACAGGCCGAUUUGGUUGCUGCAGUACAUUGCCACUCCUGUUUUCCCUCCGGGGCAGCCCCUUUUUGGAGAACGAUGUGGGUGCCCCAUGAAAGCUGCCAGUGCUGGCUGCACCCAAAAAUACUCCUGCUCUGAAGGGGCAG